UACGUAGGGUCCAAGCGUUGUCCGGAAUUAUUGGGCGUAAAGGGCUCGUAGGCGGUUUGUCGCGUCGGGAGUGAAAACCAUGAGCUUAACUCAUGGCUUGCUUUCGAUACGGGCAGACUAGAGGCAUGCAGGGGAGAACGGAAUUCCUGGUGUAGCGGUGAAAUGCGCAGAUAUCAGGAGGAACACCAAUGGCGAAGGCAGCUCACUGGGACGGUAUUGACGCUGAGACGCGAAAGCGUGGGGAGCAAACAGG
rnacentral:rRNA from 1 species